ensembl:lncRNA
GUAACAUGCUUUCUUCAAGAAUAUUAUACAGUGGCAGACCACAGCAAGAUCCCUCUGACCACCUUGAAUGAUUUUCAGUGCCAACAUCAUGCUUCCAAAAUGCUUCAAUGACUGCUUUCAAUUUUCAGUAAAAACUUGGAAAAGGCAAUGAUACAGCUGUAUGGGUACUGUUGAAUCAUGGUCUGAACCGCUGAUUGAUCAGCUGAGGCGAGCACUGAGCCAGCCGUGGGAGCACAGGUGAAGGCAAUUCACCUGUGUGACCAGAAGGGGUAGAGCCUGGCUCCACCUCUUCUAGACCCCAUAUAAGGGCUGACUGCCACUGCAGAAGGGUCUCUUUCUGGAUAUUGCUUCUCUUGGAGUUUUCUCAUGAGCCUACAACACAGAAAUCAAGAACAUCUAUUUAAUCUCUUCGUCACAGUGUUAAAAGAGGAAUGCAACGAAAUUUUCACAGCUGGACAAUGCUGCUUUUGCCAUAUUGUCAAUAGAACAGAGCAAGCAUAAAUAGAAUGAUCUAAAUACUGAAAUCAGUAGAAAAGCUGGCAAUCAAAUGGAGUUCUUGCUGUACUUUUAGAUUGUGAAGCAGCUCUCCAACAAGAAGAGAAACGCAAUACCUGAACCCAGGAACUCUUUCAGCAUUCAGUGAACCGCAGAAAGAUUUAGGAAAGAGGAAAGCAGAAAUGGGUGUGCUUUUUCCAUUUGUUUCACGUGACAGAAGUUUCCUAGGAAGGGCCAGUCCUGUAAGAAAAGUAGCGGACAAAAUUACAUGGAUGAUACAGAUGGAGGGAGCACACAGGAAGAAGAGAAUGUUGUAUUACUGAGUUUGGACUCUCAGAGUAUGUUUGACAUAAAUUUAUGCUUGCAUCUACUUAUCAACACGUAAUUGCCUCUAAUGAAACACGUACUUGAUAAGAUGAAAGGGAAUGCAUUGUGAUGUGGCUCUUUAAAAUCUGGGCUGACCUGAGCUUUUAUCUACAGGAAUGAUCAGAGGGGAAGGGACCUAGAGUCUGCCAAACUUUCAAGGGGAAGGUCAAGUGUUUGGCACACCAAACAAAGAAGAACUGUGUGGAUAAUGUAUAGAAGGAAGAGGAAAGGUGGAACUGGCAGCAGGGAAGCAAGUGGUUACAAUAGCAGGAAUGGGACUUAAUUUAUCUCUGUAAAAUGGAAUAAAAUCUGUUGUUAGAUAGCCAACUAGAUGGUAUGUUUCACUGAGAUUUUCCUGAAUUGAAACUGGCCUUUGUAUACUUUGUUGAAAGGUGUUCUGUGAUCUUUAAAAGGAGAGUGAGUUGGCCAUAAGACAAGCCAAUAGAGUCCGCUUUACGGUACUAAAAAAGAUAGCUAUGUGUGACCCAGUUAAUUUUCACAUCUCUUCUCUUAAGAAACUACUCCAUCAAAUAAUCAACUUUCUUUUUUAAUUUUGAAAUGGAAGAAACAGAAUAUGCUUCAUGGAACAUUUCUUUAAAAAAAAGCCUUUUAAUUAAAAAAAAGGGAAAAAAGAAAAACAACACAUUUGCUGUGUGUGUCCAGCUAUCUGUGCUUUCUGUCACUUUGAAUACUUUGGCCACCAGGCGUGGUCAGUGUUUUUGGACACUCCUAUCCGUCCCCAUGACCUUUUUAAUAUCUUUUCAUCCAAAUUGUUGCUGCUGCAUUUAUUCUUAGCAUUCAUAUAAAACAAUCCACUUUCAGAGUCUAUAUUCUCACAAAGACCCUUGAGUUAAUGGUGUAUGGAAAUUUCCACAGGGGUCUGCCUAUAAUGACUUCCAACUCACUAUUCCCAGAUUUGAGUUAGUAAAUCAGAAAAAUAUUUUCUUAUGUUUUUGGUGGGGAGGAGGAAUGACAGGGAGCAGAGAGAGAGAUCGCUGUUAAGUUUAGUAAAUGUAACCUCUUUGGCACUGCUUUUCCAUAUGCAGAGACCAAAUUCUUCCUUAUUCAUUUGUAAUCUUUUUGUUUUGCCCCACCCUUUUCUUCCCACCCUCUCAGUUAUGGGCAGGACCAAAUAUUAUGCUUAGUUGGCUCAUUGUGGAGUGAAAUAGAUUUUAGUGGAAUUAAUUAAUGGAAUUUCUUUUACAUUUACAAUUACAUAGUUAAUGAGAGGGUCUGACCUCAGGAAGAUGCAUUGCCUUUUUGCUUUUGCUGAGCAUUGUUCCCAGUGACACAGCAGCCAUGUACAAAGGGGAAAAUAUAAAUUGCUUUUAAAGUGACAAAGUAAUGUAUUAAAAAAAAAAAAGAACAUUUAGUUUUGAAAACACAAAUCUUUCACUGAAUAAAUAUUUAUCUUGACUAUUUAUAAUGUCAAGUCAAGCGUAAGUGGUAUUAAUUUUGCAUGAAGGGAAGCCAAGUCUAGAAAUCCUAAGCAAAAUCUUGAGAUUGCAGAAAUGUUGAGUUCAAUGGAACAGCAGAUGUCUGAGCAGCGUGAAUGUUAAUUUUGCAGGGUAAGUCCAGUUUUGCUGGAUAAAGCAAUGAAAAUAUUUCACGUAACAGCUUUCAGUUAGUAGAGGUUUUGAAAUGUCUGAUUUUAUUUGUGUGAAAUUUAAG